rnacentral:rRNA from 1 species
UGAGGAAUAUUGGACAAUGGGCGAAAGCCUGAUCCAGCCAUGCCGCGUGUGUGAUGAAGGCCUUCGGGUUGUAAAGCACUUUGAGUGGGGAAGAUAAUGACGGUACCCACAAAACAAGCCCCGGCUAACUCCGUGCCAGCAGCCGCGGUAAUACGGAGGGGGCUAGCGUUAUUCGGAAUCACUGGGCGUAAAGCGCGUGUAGGCUGUCUGGAAAGUCAGAGGUGAAAGCCCAAAGCUUAACUUUGGAACUGCCUUUGAAACUAUCAGACUAGAAUAUGGUAGAGGAUAGUGGAAUUCUUAGUGUAGAGGUGAAAUUCGUAGAUAUUAAGAGGAACACCAGUGGCGAAGGCGACUAUCUGGGCCAUUAUUGACGCUAAGACGCGAA